AGAACUGGGAAAGAAGAGGCCAGAUCUGAGGCUCCUGCGCCGGUGAAGACCCGGGCCGGGCCUAGCAGAGCCUCUCAGGGCGCAGCUCGGGGCGGGGCCCAGCAAAGCAACCACGCCCCCUCAUUGAUGGGCUUAAGAAGCGGCGACCUUUUGGUCCCGGGCAGCCCCUCUGCCUCCCAAAGCACUGAGGCUGGAUAGCACCAGGCACCCAGCUAGCAGGACAACUCGAGAAGAUGGCUGAUCCUUGGCAGGAAUGCAUGGAUUAUGCAGUAACCCUAGCAAGACAAGCUGGAGAGGUGGUUCAUGAUGCUCUUAAAAAUGAAGUGAAUGUUAUCCUGAAAGGUUCUCCAGUUGAUUUGGUAACUGCUACUGACCAAAAAGUUGAAAAAAUGCUUAUCUCUUCCAUAAAGGAAAAGUAUCCAUCUCAUAGUUUCACUGGUGAGGAAUCUGGCAGCUGGGGAAAAAGGUGUCUUAACUGACAACCCUACGUGGAUCAUUGACCCUAUUGAUGGAACAACUAAGUUUGUCCAUAGAUUUCCUUUUGUAGCUGUUUCGAUUGGCCUUGUUGUAAAUAAGAAGAUAGAAUUUGGAGUUGUGUACAGUUGUGUGGAAGACAAGAGGUACACUGUCAGGAAAGGAAAAGGUGCCUUUUAUAAUGGUCAAAAACUACAGGUUUCACAAGAAGAUAUUACCAAAUCACUCUUGGUGACCGAGCUGGGCUAUUGCAGAACAUCAGAAAUUGUAAGAACUAUUCUUUCCAAUAUGGAAAAGCUUUCUUGCAUUCCUAUUCACGAUUGGUUCAACUUAUCUCAAUCAACAUUCAAACUGAAGUUAGGAGGAAUACCUUACUUGAAAGGUUAUUUUUUCAAUCUGCCAUUUUUGAAUACUAUUUUUGAGGAUCCAGAGUGUUGGAACAGCAGCUACUAAUAUGUGCAUUGCGGCAAGUGGAGGAGCAGAGGCAUUUUAUGAAAUGGGAAUUCACUGCUGGGAUAUUGCAGUAGCUGCCAUUAUUGUUACUGAAGCUGGUGGCGUGCUAAUGGAUGUUACUGGUAAAAUUAUGAGAUAGUGAAUCAUUUUUCCCUUUACAUCUCUUGGACUUUCCUCUGUAUAUGGAGUUUAAAAAAAGUUUGAUACAUAUGAUAGCUUGGAUUUUAAGACAAACAGGCUAUAUAAUUUUGUGCAAAAUCAAAAUAAACAUUAGGAGAUAGAGGCAAGGAUGAGAACUAAUGGCAAUAUGGGACUGAUAGUGAUAAAUGGCUAAGCCUUUUCAAAUGUGAGUAAUAGGAACUCCUGAAAGGCUGUUGAGAAAGCCUAGAGAGUCACUGACUCUGAGGCUUGUAUUUAGAGUUCUUUGAAUGCUGACCAUUGUGAUAGUUGAUGAUUGACUUCAGUCCUCCACCAUCACCUUCUGUGUUGGGACUAGAGAAGUUAAAUAUUUGCUUUGAGCUGAUGGUGAAAUUUUUGAAGUGAAGAGUGAACCUGGGUUCAAAGAAUUCACCAGUGAUCUGAGAGAAAGGCAACAAAGAAAUAAGGAAAUGGGAAGGAUAGUGGUAUGAAAAUUAAUUGGAGUCACAUUUUCUGUCCAUAGAUUCUUAAACAGUAAAGAGGUAAUAACAGUGUAUAUACACACACACACACACAAACAAAGAAAUAGAGAAUAGAUGACAUUUUCAGACUAGCAUGACUUGAGACUCCCUCUCUCCCCCACCAACCUUGCCAGUAAAUACCAAAAAACUGGUAUUUUAAAAAACAUAUACUUAGAAACUCAGCUAUGGAUUGCCAAAGCUUAAACAUUGUAGUUAUGUGACAGUAGAUUUUUAAAAGAAAACUGAAAGUAUUAAAAUGUCGUGAUUGACCAUAGUGCACAUUGCUGUACUUGUUUGAUAUAAAUUAUUUUUGUACCAGAUAUAACUAUUUACCAUACUUGAUUUGUUUUAGGUGGACCAUUCCAUUUAAUGUCACGGAGAAUAAUUGCUGCAAAUUGUACAGCAUUAGCAGAAAGGAUAGCCAAAGAAAUUCAGGUAGCACCUUUUCAAUGAGAUGAUGAAGAUUAAUUACAGCAGCCUCAUAGUCAAUCACAGUUGCUUUUCCCCAGAUUUGCUGACUCACUGUGGAUACGUGUUUCAGAUGUAUUAUAUGCUUAGUUUAAAUUGUCUUUGUCCAGAUUAAGAAUUUUGAACUUGUUUCAUAUUUUACUAUGGCUAGGUUUGCAAGAAUAGACAUGAUGUUUACUUCAUUGUUUAAAAAAAUUGCAUGUAAGAGCUUUAGGAAAAAUACACAAAAAGUAUAGUUGAUGAAAUAAGUAUAACAUCAACUGAAAUAGUUAGCAAUUUUGCAUUUCUGAGUAUCAAUGGUCUGAAAUUUUGACUUGCUAUAUAUAUGUAUGCCUAGACACUCGCUUAGAAAGUUACCUAUUUGGAAAAAAAAAUUGUUUGGUUUCAAAAGCCAUAUUUAAAUUUGUAAGGAUAUAUUGAGUACUUCCUAGACCAAGGUUUUUUUCUUUGCAGAGAAACUUUUUUGUUUUAUUCAGUGCUCAUAUAACACCUAGCACCGUGCUUGUCAGUUAGCAAUCAAAAUUAAACAUUGUAAGAAUGAAUAUUUUGAAGUCAUCAAUUCCUAGUUAUUAUAUAGAGUAGAUACAUAAUGAGCUCACCAUUCUGUACUUUUGCUGUAUUUUUCAUGAUGAUGUGAAUUUUGAAGUAAAAACAGUCUAGUUAUAUUUUGUAUAUUUCACAUUAACAUACUGCCAGAUAGAGUUGCUUAUUGUAGGCAUUUCUGCGAUAAAUAUAUUUUCCAAAGCACUUAGUUAAGGUAUGUAUUUUAAUUUGCUUUAAACUCCCUAAGAGAGAAGAAACUGUUCCCAAAAAGCACUCUCAUCAGAUAUCUGAUAUAUUUAGAUACAGUGUAACAUUUUACUCAUUUCAAUAGUCACAUUUCAAAGAUGUUGAUGCUGAUUUAUGUUGGCAAAUUAUGCAUUAUUAUUAAUAUUCAACUAUUUGGUUUCCUCCCAAAUCCUUAUAUAAUUUCAUUGUAACUGGAUUCCAUUCAGCCUUUAAGUAAGAGAAUAGAUGACAUUUUUCAGACAAGUAUGACUUGCAAUUUCCUCUGUCUCACACCAACCUGGCCAGUAAAUACCAAUAAAUAUCUUUUUUCUUUUUUUUUUUUUUUUGAGACAGGGUCUCACUCUGUUGCCCAGGCUGGAGUGCAGUGGCGCAAUUUCAGCUCACCACAACCUCUGCCUCCUGGGUUCAAGUGAUUCUCCUGCCUCAGCCUCCUGAGUAACUGGGACUACAGGUGUGCGCCACCAUGCCCAGCUAAUUUUUGUAUUUUUAGUAGAGGUGGGGUUUCACUAUGUUGGCCAGGCUGAUCUCAAACUCCUGACCUCGUGAUCCACCUGCCUCGGCCUCCCAAGGUGCUGGGAUUACAUGCAUGAGCCACCACGCCCAGCCACCAAUAAAUAUCUUAAUCAUCCUUGGCCAACAGAAUGGAUUUUUUUUAAAAAAUGUGGUCUAAUCACAUGAAGAAUGUUCUGUAGCAAUGAAAAAAUAGACUCCAGUUACACGCAAUAAUGUGGAUGAUUGCAAUCUGGCUGAAGCUCUAACUUCCAAUGGUUCUGCACAUUUUGAUAUCACCAACGAUAUCCUAAUAAUUUACAGAAGCCAAAUUGUUUCUGCUUUGAACUUAACCUCUCUUCAGUCCUUCCCCCUUGCUUGUUUUGUUUUAAAAAAAAAUCCCA